GCAGCUUGCUGCUUCGCUGACGAGUGGCGGACGGGUGAGUAAUGUCUGGGAAACUGCCUGAUGGAGGGGGAUAACUACUGGAAACGGUAGCUAAUACCGCAUAACGUCGCAAGACCAAAGAGGGGGACCUUCGGGCCUCUUGCCAUCAGAUGUGCCCAGAUGGGAUUAGCUAGUAGGUGGGGUAACGGCUCACCUAGGCGACGAUCCCUAGCUGGUCUGAGAGGAUGACCAGCCACACUGGAACUGAGACACGGUCCAGACUCCUACGGGAGGCAGCAGUGGGGAAUAUUGCACAAUGGGCGCAAGCCUGAUGCAGCCAUGCCGCGUGUAUGAAGAAGGCCUUCGGGUUGUAAAGUACUUUCAGCGGGGAGGAAGGCGAUGCGGUUAAUAACCGCGUCGAUUGACGUUACCCGCAGAAGAAGCACCGGCUAACUCCGUGCCAGCAGCCGCGGUAAUACGGAGGGUGCAAGCGUUAAUCGGAAUUACUGGGCGUAAAGCGCACGCAGGCGGUCUGUCAAGUCGGAUGUGAAAUCCCCGGGCUCAACCUGGGAACUGCAUCCGAAACUGGCAGGCUUGAGUCUCGUAGAGGGGGGUAGAAUUCCAGGUGUAGCGGUGAAAUGCGUAGAGAUCUGGAGGAAUACCGGUGGCGAAGGCGGCCCCCUGGACGAAGACUGACGCUCAGGUGCGAAAGCGUGGGGAGCAAACAGGAUUAGAUACCCUGGUAGUCCACGCCGUAAACGAUGUCGACUUGGAGGUUGUGCCCUUGAGGCGUGGCUUCCGGAGCUAACGCGUUAAGUCGACCGCCUGGGGAGUACGGCCGCAAGGUUAAAACUCAAAUGAAUUGACGGGGGCCCGCACAAGCGGUGGAGCAUGUGGUUUAAUUCGAUGCAACGCGAAGAACCUUACCUGGUCUUGACAUCCACAGAACUUGGCAGAGAUGCCUUGGUGCCUUCGGGAACUGUGAGACAGGUGCUGCAUGGCUGUCGUCAGCUCGUGUUGUGAAAUGUUGGGUUAAGUCCCGCAACGAGCGCAACCCUUAUCCUUUGUUGCCAGCGGUUAGGCCGGGAACUCAAAGGAGACUGCCAGUGAUAAACUGG
rnacentral:rRNA from 1 species